rnacentral:lncRNA from 1 species
AAAUCCAUCCAAAAUCUUGGAUCUCCAUCUCAAAUCUUAGAGCAAACUCUUUCUCUCAACAUACCCUCUUGCUCUCCAUCAAAUCUCAAGCCCUAACUUGCAAAAUCUGUGACAAUUACCCCUAAACCCUCUUCUCCUCAUUUCCAUCCAUCCUUCACCCUUCUCUAUUCUCUUGACCACUUCUCCUACUUUUUUUGGGAUAAUGGCCUCCAAGAUAUGGUUGCCAC